rnacentral:rRNA from 1 species
GCCUACGGCCAUACCACCCUGAGAACGCCCGAUCUCGUCUGAUCUCGGAAGCUACGCAGGGUCGGGCCUGAUUAGUACUUGGAUGGGAGACCGCCUGGGAAUACCAGGUGCUGUAAACU